CCUUGGCACAUUUCGCUAGCACACAAUCAGAGUAUAUAUCUCACAAAAGUCACAAGAAAGAAAUAUUAUACUAUAUCAAAAACAAAAUAUCUCAACCGUAUAAUUCGAUAUCAAUCUCGGUCUUUCAAUGUCAAGCUCCAGUUCAGGUUUCAAAUCAGGAUCCGAUUGGAAGUCUCAGUGGCAGAUUUCAUAAUUAAAGAGGAAUUAGAGGACGGAGAUUAAGAAAUACCUGCUAACUCAUCUUCAUCCCAUUCCUCAAAGGACAUCGACGCAGGCUUCGGGUUGGACGGCGAGAUGUAACUUGAGUGGCCACUAAGGGAGGAAGACAGAGGUGUUGUGCGGCGGAGAUGGGUUCAUCGAGGUCAACAAAUUUGUCGAUAUCAUCGACGUCGAGAAUCAAAGUCAUAACACUCAAUAGUCAAUGGACUGUCCUGCAUUUGUUCAAAUGUUAUUGAUAUCAUAAUACAGUUUCUUGACAUACCCGAAGAAUGGUUAUUAUUUAGAAGAUUCAUCCCCAGCAAUUUAGUAAGAUUAUUAGCGGUACAGGCCCUUUCAAAGCUAUAGAUGACUACUGUAAUGUGAGAACCUUCGAUUGUAUUCCGCAAUGGGCAAUACAUGAAACACUUCUGAAGAAUUCCGCUAAUAUAUUAUUUAACUAGCUAAUAAAAUCAGAAAGUAUCAUAUUACAUUAAAGAGCAAAGAAAAGGGCAGCCUGGUGCACUAAGCAUCCCACAUUCAUGCAAGGUUCGGGGAACAACCGCACCCCUAAGGGAUGUGAUGUCGGAAUGUUACCCUGAUGCAGCAUCAGUGGCUGAUUCCACAGAUCGAACUCGUGACCUAUAGGUCACACGGAGACAACUUUAUAUUACUCUAAGGCUACCCUUCAGAUUUUUACUGCAGACAUGGAGCAAGCUAACACAACUUGUAACAUGAAUGGAGUAUAUAUCUCACUGAUGAUUUGGAUUUGAAAGCUUAUCCAUUUCUAGAUCUAAACUCAACUUAUAUGAUGUAGACCUGACACAGGGAAAAUACAUUACUGUUGACUAGGACAAAGAUCUUUUGAACUCAAGUAGAUAUAUAUCUGUGGAUUCAAUCUAGAAAAUUCAUAACCCCCCCACCAUAAAGGCCAUAAUAUCAUAUAAGACUUUCUUAAGGUAACUAGCUAAUUUAUGCAGAUUGCUGUCUUGAAUCGCACCGAAUACAUGACACUCGUGCAAAACAAAACAUUUGUAGGACACCGAAUACACUUAACCUUUCUCGACGUAAAAAUCAUUAAUAUACAAUAAUAGACAAUUUUAUUUACUCUGCAAUUGAAUCAUAAUGUGUGGCGAAUACAAUGUGCAUCAUAUGAACUUAUCCAGAAUAUAUUAUGUAAGCAUUCUGAAGCAAAUUGGUACACAUACCCAAGGUUGCCAACGCCGUUAAUAGGCUUCAGAAGUUGCAAUUGAUGUUGUUGUACCUCCCUACUGAGGUUCAAUUUGCUACAAGGGCUGCACAUGACCACCCUCCAUCACUAUUGCUGCAGUAAUUGGGGUUCCAUUUCCCUCAAUUAACCGCCACAUAUACCGUGCCCCAAUCGAUCGGUAUAGCCUUCAUUUCCCACACAAUUGUUCCAUUUGCGACGGUCUUGGCAAUUCCUCUAACCCAUACAACAUUCUCACUCCUUCCAACAUAGAAAGGCCUUGGCACAUUUCGCUAGCACACAAUCAGAGUAUAUAUCUCACAAAAGUCACAAGAAAGAAAUAUUAUACUAUAUCAAAAACAAAAUAUCUCAACCGUAUAAUUCGAUAUCAAUCUCGGUCUUUCAAUGUCAAGCUCCAGUUCAGGUUUCAAAUCAGGAUCCGAUUGGAAGUCUCAGUGGCAGAUUUCAUAAUUAAAGAGGAAUUAGAGGACGGAGAUUAAGAAAUACCUGCUAACUCAUCUUCAUCCCAUUCCUCAAAGGACAUCGACGCAGGCUUCGGGUUGGACGGCGA
rnacentral:lncRNA from 1 species